UCCCUCUUAGCUCAGUUGGUAGAGCGCGUCACUAGUAGAUGCUAUGACGAGGUCAGUCGUUCAAGUCGGCUAGAGGGAA